rnacentral:lncRNA from 1 species
GAGUAGCUCAAGCAAUCCCCUCGUGAGCUGUCCCAAGGGAAGGGAGACAGCCCAUCCCCAUCACGUGACCUUGGGGAUGAAGCGGCAAACGUGUGAACUGCGGGGGAACGCCUGCCGACCUGCGUACCCUCUCCUGCGAGCAUCGCAGUCUACGCCCCAGACCCCGAGACCUGCAGCUGCUGCUGCGGCCUUCCUGUUUUGCGUCCACCCGGCUCCGGCCAUCAAGCAUGCGCCCGGCCCCUGUUCUUUCCUUCCAAGGCCCUCGCCUGCCAGGUGGCAGCCGCGUGCUGCAGCCAGCUCUCCCAGGGCCACGCCUGGCCUGCAGAGGAUGCAGCCCCGAGCUCCUGCCGGACGCUGGUACCAUCUGUCCCUGUGGUGCUGUCGGGCCCUCCCGUGGAGCGCUGUUGGGGAGGUGCAUCGCUUUGUAUGGAGCCCAAGGAGCCCAGGACUCUCACACACUUUGCUUCACAUUCGUAAUUCAUCACCUCCAGCCUUUUGUGGCUUGGUUUCCCAUCCAUGGAUUGCAUUCAGCAAGAGCCGUACAAUUUCGUUGUCCUCAUAAUUACUAAUUUCCCCAGUCCCCAGCUUGCAACCUCCUGAAACACACAGCCUGCCCUGCACUCCCUUCUAGCCCCGUGGCUCCACCAGGAAAACUUGGUGCCCAUUGUGCCCACAAGAACAGGAGCUCCACACCCUCCGCCCCUACCAGUGAUGGGGUCGGCGGUGUCCCGCAGCCAGCAGCCAAGUCAGCUCCACAGCCUCAGAUCACUCCUGAGUUCCAGUUGCCUUGGGUUGGGUCCUGAGACUGCCACAAGGACUCGCACACAGCAAGCAGGGCCGGGAGUGCCUGGAUCAGCGUCCGGGGCAGUGACACCUGCCGAGCUGGGCAGAGGGAGAGGCGGGCCUGUGAUGCACCUGCAGCAGAGGCCUCAGGUGUGAAAUCCUGUAUCCAGGGAGAGGCGCCCAUAUUGAUAAAUUCUCACUUCCCUGGCUUGACACUCCCUGAUUCGUGAUCCGGCACCCUCCAUGUGAUGUGUGCCCACAUGGCGGGCGGCUCCACACCAUCGGGGUUCCAGCGCUGGGAAGGACUUUACAGAGAUGCACCUGCCACUCAUUAGACUGGGCUGCCCUCUCUCCACGUGUGGGAGGGGCCAGGCCUUGGGGGAGCCUGUCCGUUAUGCUCAGGGCAGUUCCUACAAAGAGACUCCGCCUGGAGCCAGCAACGGGCAACUGUGGCAGCUGCUGGAGUAGGAGCUCAAGUCUUGAAGGGGAGUCGGAGAGAAGUGCAAGCUGCCAGAGGACAAGCUGGGGGAGUGAAGGCCCAGGAAGCAGGAUCCAGCACGUGAUGCCACGCUCGGAGCGCUGGGACGGGGAUGUGUCCUGUGGGACCUCGUGGGCCAGCGCAGCAACAGCAGGUGUCAAUUCUAACAAUGACACAAACCUCAUCUCUGUCCAGGAAGACUCGGGAGCCCUCUGACAUGGGAGAUGGAGGGCAGUGAAUUUGGGUGCUUUGAGCUCCCCAUCCCUGUCGUGUACAAGUGGAGACCAGGCCACCGACAGCC